AAAAGUCACAAGAAUUAGAAUGAACUGCUAAUGCACAGCUGAGAACACGUCUAUAAGGCAAGCCCUUCAACAUGAAAUCCCUCAUGCUGUAAUUUCCUAAUCUGCUGAAGGAGGAAGCUUCUAUGACAGCUGCUAGGCAAGGCACUGAUCUGCGUGCUUUCAGUACUCAGAACUCGGCCAUCUGGACUGAAGCCUUCUCUGCACCAAUUAUCACCUCUGCCCCAUCAGCUCUCUCUCAAAAUGCCUUCAGGAAAUUUCAGAUCAGCUGACCAUCUGUCAGGACCAACUCGAUCUUUUGGCUGCUGCCGUUCUGUAGAACUAGACCUGACUACUGCUCAGGGAUACGUGACAGCAAUGGUGUGAUCCAUCACAGAAGGUCAAGUUAAAACUCUCCUCCUAAUAAAAGACCAGAGGACCCCCUCUUCCUGACCCCCUGAACAGGCAUCCCUUUCCUGUGGGAGAGUGUCUCUUCUUCACUGUUUUGAAGUGAACAGUGCCUUCUGCUGAAAUCACACUGGUCACUUUCUGCCUUCUGCCUCUCUAGGCUGUCUGAGGCAUCUAACUGUUUCAAAGCCACUGCAUAUCCAGUUCCGCGCACUUCAUCUUGAUCUUUC
rnacentral:lncRNA from 1 species